rnacentral:rRNA from 1 species
GUGAGUAACACGUGGGUGAUCUGCCCUGCACUUCGGGAUAAGCCUGGGAAACUGGGUCUAAUACCGGAUAUGACCUCCUGUUGCAUGGCUUGGGGUGGAAAGAUUUAUCGGUGCAGGAUGGGCCCGCGGCCUAUCAGCUUGUUGGUGGGGUAAUGGCCUACCAAGGCGACGACGGGUAGCCGACCUGAGAGGGUGACCGGCCACACUGGGACUGAGACACGGCCCAGACUCCUACGGGAGGCAGCAGUGGGGAAUAUUGCACAAUGGGCGAAAGCCUGAUGCAGCGACGCCGCGUGAGGGAUGACGGCCUUCGGGUUGUAAACCUCUUUCAGCAGGGACGAAGCGCAAGUGACGGUACCUGCAGAAGAAGCACCGGCUAACUACGUGC